rnacentral:rRNA from 1 species
AUACGGAGGGUGCAAGCGUUAUCCGGAUUCACUGGGUUUAAAGGGUGCGUAGGCGGAUAUGUAAGUCCGUGGUGAAAUCUCAAAGCUUAACUUUGAAACUGCCAUGGAUACUAUAUAUCUUGAAUGUUGUGGAGGUUUGCGGAAUAUGUCAUGUAGCGGUGAAAUGCUUAGAUAUGACAUAGAACACCGAUUGCGAAGGCAGCAGGCUACACAAAUAUUGACGCUGAGGCACGAAAGCGUGGGGAUCAAACAGGAUUAGAUACCCUGGUAGUCCACGCCCUAAACGAUGAUUACUCGACAUUUGUGAUACACAAUAAGUGUCUGAGCGAAAGCAUUAAGUAAUCCACCUGGGAAGUACGACCGCAAGGUUGAA